AUCGAACGCUGGCGGCAGGCCUAACACAUGCAAGUCGAGCGGAUCGUUCGAUGGGAGAGUAAUGCCUAGGAAUCUUCCUGGUAGUGGGGGAUAACGUCCGGCAACGGGCGCUAAUACCGCAUACUAUCAGACGAGCUUAGGUCGGUUUAGCUAGUUGGUGGGGUAAAGGCCUCCCAAGGCGACGAUCCGUAACUGGUAUGAGAGGAUGAUCAGUAACUCUGGAACUGUGAAACGGUCCAGAGUCUUACGGGAGGCGGCGUUGGGGAAUUUUGGUAAUUGAGCGAAGGCGUAAUCCAGCCAGGCCGGGUGUGUAAAGAGGGUCUUCGGAUUGUAAAGCACUUUAAGUUGGAAGACGUUACCAAAAGAGUAAGCACCGGCUAACUUCGUGCCAGCCGCCGCGGUAAUUG
rnacentral:rRNA from 1 species